rnacentral:piRNA from 1 species
UAUUGCAAUUAUCAUUACUGCUGGAGAUGC